GAUUGUCGAGUCAGAAGAGAGUCUAUAUAUUCAUGAGUCUGUCCUGUAAUGAAUUAUCUUUCUUUUAUCAAUCAAAUUGAUUAAACCGUAAGCAAUGUAGACAUGAGGAUUCUCAAUGUUACUAUGGUAUCAGACUCGGAAAUAAAUUUCUGAGGGUACCGAUCCUAGCAUGUGAUUCUUCACCAUCACCACCAUUACUUCAUCUUCAACAAUCUCCAUUACCAUUGAUUCAUCAUCUUCUGCUGCUGCAACUGUAGAUCGAAAUUUGAAGGCCGAUUUCAAUAAUUCAUCUCAGAUUUGAGGCUAAUUCGACUCAACGGUGCGUUUUAUCUACAUCUACAGCAACUGUUGUGCACUGCUGCAAAAACUGCCUAAGGGGAAUAAAAGUAUGACUUUGUCUAUUUUCUUUAUGAUGCUCAUGGUGCUGGCUAGUGUUAAUGUACAUCAGCUGAGCUGUCUGUUGCUCUUAGUGGUGUCCAAGCAUGGAUGCGUCCAGGUCUUCAUCUACAGUUCCAGGGAGUGAAUGACUUAUUCCAAUCUCAGAGGCUACUGCUUCUCAUUUUGGUGUUGAACUACAAUCUUCACAGUUGCAUGAGUUGGUUUUCACUGUAUGUUUUCACUGCAACAUUGUAUAUUUCCUGUGCUUGGAUUUCUGCUUCAGCUGAAACUCUUCUGGUAAUAUUGCUAAGCAAGUGAGUGUGAUUGCAACUUCGAAUGAGCUUUCUUCGCUUAAAUCUGGUGGGAGUGUUCUACUGGAGCUAUUGUAGUAAGUGAUUAAUUCUUUAUUCUGACCUAGUGACACAUCCACUGCUACUUCCUGGUAUGUCCUGGUAUUUGUCUUUCUCCAGACUCAUCUACUGCAUCACCUGUGCUUGUUGCCUCAAAUGUUGUCAGUUCAAAUUUGGUAUGCUUUAUGUGCGCAUCAAGUGCUUUGGGUUUUCGACAUCAGUUGGAGUCACUCAAUUAUAGUACAAAUGAAAGUCUAAAUACUUCUUGUGAAUGUGUGUGUCUAAGCAUGUGUAACGGUUGGUGAGCUGAGUUCCUUGUCCAAUCAUCCAACCUACUUCUCGCUAUAUUAUAUGUUUUAUCUUUUUCUGGUGCUUAGAGAUCCGCUUCACCUGCGACAGUGCUACUGUUCACAUUAUCACAUUUCUGCAACUACUGUUGAUGCUUGUGCACCUCCACAAUUACUCUUGUACCAUCAGCUGGUGGUUCUUCUCUUCCACAUGGUUUGUUUCUUUCCAUUGCAGACUUUGGCAAUUCUCAUCAUCAACUUCAGCAUGAGUUGUGUGCUGGUGAGCUGUGUAGCAAUAUCAAGUUGUCUUUUUGCAGCCUACUUGAGAUUGAGGGAGGGUAAUAGCAUGAGUUGUGUGCUGGUGAGCUGUGUGAAAUGUAAGUGUGUGUGUAUGUGCCAUAAGCAUGUGAGAAGUGUAAGCGAGAUUUGAUUGUCGAGAGAAGAGAGUCUAUAUAUUCAUGAGUCUGUCCUGUAAUGAAUUAUCUUUCUUUUAUCAAUCAAAUUGAUUAAACCGUAAGCAAUGUA